GGUCUUGGGCUGGGUAAAUGGUGAAGGCGAGGGUGAAGGCCGCGAGCCGUAGCAGAGAGAGCAGAGGCCGGCGUAGCUACCGUUUCCACGGCCGCCGCCUUCGGUACCUGCAGCUCCGUGGCCGCGCAGGCGGGUCGCGGUGGUGGCGCGGUUUCGGUGCGAGGGGGGUGCUGGAGGAGCGGCUCUGGGCGCGGAGGCAGCUCCUCCAGCGGCGGGCGUAUGAGCGGUAGUUCUUCCUGCCGCGGGGGUUCAGGCUCGAGGCACUCGAGCAGCGCGUCUACAGGGAGGAGGAGUAGUGCGAGGCGGUCCACUUGUCCCUCUAUGACUACCUCCUCCUAUUCCACUUCCCCCUCUGCCUCCGCCGCUUCCGCGGGCACCUGAGGUGCUGCGACUCCGACGUGUUGGACGACAUGCUCUUCUUGGUGAUGCAGUUCCGGUAGUCCAGCACGGAGCUGAAGGUCUGCUUCGUGGGCCCCUAUCUCGAGCACGGGCUCCUCCUCAAGGUGGCGCGGCGCGGCCGACUGUAGGCGCUGUUCUGCGAGCGGCGACUGUGGCGGGUGCUGGAGUACGAGUUCGCGGAGUUGAAGCUCGAGCAGGUCGCAUUUCUCGAUACACUCGCUGUACUCUUUAACCUUGUUGUCUUCUUGUCAAACGACCCCUGUUAACGUUUAGUCUUCUUCAAGGAGAGUUCGGAGGGUAGCGUAAACUUUAGUGACUUCUUUCGUAGUAACGGUCACGUCGUCGUCGAACCCUACGACGUAUGGUUCUUUGAUUUCGUCGUGGUACGUCGACUCAACGAGGGUAGAGGAGAAAUAUAUUGAAUGUGGGUCAACAAUCCUGUCUUUCUUCGUAAACCGCUCUUAUAACUUCACCUCCAUUUACCUUCGUGUUUCCUGCGAGUUUGAAAACGAGUUGUCGUUCGGUUCGUCCUUUACCCGUGAAACCGUUUGCUACUAUUAUUAUCCUACCUACUGCUACGUUAACUACUCCUUCUUCUACGAGUCUCUUCUUCUAGUUCCAGAUCCUUCUCAAGUUUCCUUCGAUCAUUAGGACGUAAUCGUAUAGUUGAAGUAGGUGAGUUUCAACAAGAGGUACAUAUACUAUGACUUCUAAGACCUUGGUUCGCAGCAUUCGAGUAGUGAAACUCCAAACUUAUGAACCGUUUCAACUUACAACAGACACAACCUAGACUUCUAAGUCUACCUUACCUGUCGUUAUAGGACACGUUGGAUAAAGGUCUACUGUGACCGAAUCUCGACGGAGUAGUCUACCGAUUCGAAAUACGGCCCCUCUGAGGUUUAAAAUCGCUUUUCCUAAGCGCAGGUAUGUUCACCCGUGUCGUAGAUCGACCAUAUCUAAAGGAGGGCCUCCAAGGAGUUAGACAACCCCUAUCAAGAUUGUCUCGCAGCUCUUUACGACUAAACAGUAGACCCGAACGUGAUAUGGCAGUCGUCUUAGCACGUGUCUGAUAAAACGUCUCUUAGGCGAGAGCCUUUUAACGUGUUUACCGAGAGUGCACCGUUGAAUUAAUAAAUUGAUUCGACUCCACCGGAGUUUAUCUUGUGCUCUUAUGUGGUACCCGUAGUGCGUGGGGUAGCACAUCAUACGUGUCAACCAGUAACUGUCCUCAAAAAGGACUCGGAAGCCGAGCAAGACGAAAUCACCACUCACCCGGACGUCCUUCACAACUGUCACUAAACCUCUCUUCUAGACACUGUUUACCCGUUCUUUGGCUCCCAUUGUCUCUCCUACCACUCGAAGGUUAACACCAAGUGCGACUUCUAUACGGUCUACUAAGAUUUCAUAGUGUCCGCCUCCAGAGUGGACUUCAAGAUUUGGUAAGAUCUCCGAAUAGAGAAUAUAGUUUCCCGAGACGUGGUAGAUUCGAUUCGUAGAGUGUGUCAAAACCAUCUUUACUCCUACUAGAACUAAAGAAUUACCUGUCACUGUCACUCAACCUCCUCGACCGUACACGACUGGUUCUUUGACUCGUUCCAUCGGAGUGAUAUCUAUUUAGGACCCUCCUAAUACGAAGGUCUCUCAAGUGGUACCAGAACUCAUUUUGAAACUUCUUACCACGUUUUUAGUACGACCUUCGGUUCUAAUUUUAAUCGUACCUCAUAGGAGAAUCCGGUGGUGAAAAGUCUAACGUCGACCAAAGACUUUUCUGGCUUCUAAAUUUUACCGUGUUACUAGAAGCACGUUACCUUCGACUCCACUUAGAAGUGUAGGAGGCUUAAGAAGGAGCCAGCUUGCUCCUGAUAUAUAAUUGGGUGGUUCAAGACACGGACCGAUACAACAAACUAUACGUAAACCUGCUCCUAGUGCUCUUUUCCUUUCAAUGAAGUCACUAACUACAACCCGACACGUUUGGUCAGUCACCUUGGUACGAGUGAUCUAGUCAGUCCCCCUCUCUGGCCUCUGUCUGGUAGAUAACCGCUCCACUGCAAACGAGAUCAAUAAACACUAGAACCAACUAGCGGUCAACUCAACCGCGCGUAUAGUAUAGCAAACAGUAAACCUCCUUUUGCCCCUACGACUUUGACGGUAAAACAGGUACCGUGUCUCUUUGGAAGAAAGCCAUGACCUUGAUUGUACCAGACUGUCGUCAUCUUCGACCGUUCGAACGGGUGCAACCGACCUCUCUCUACGAAGCGACAAAGGGCUGCUAUCAAAAGAUUGGUAAUACCGUAAUACUACAAACUAUACGUUAACGUUCUUACGGUUUUGAGAGCACGAACUAAAAUGUACCUUGAAACGUUGAGGUCGUCUGAACCAGGUACGUCGUAGUUCGUUGUUUGGUCUAACGUGCGGACGCAACGCACGGAACUAUCACCACCACCACGAUGACCAGUCUGAACGAACAAGUACGUCUUUAGAAGGUUCGGUCUGUCCGUCUGCCCAAAGCAAGAACGCUAACACAUUUAAUAUUCAAGGGUUUGACAUACAAGUUAGAGUUGAUGGUUUAGCUACGUAAAAAAUACAGAAAAAAGCACGGAAGAUUGGAUAUAAUGCGAUAUUACCCCUCUUUGUUGUCUGAGCAUGUUAUGAAAUGAUAGUUUGUAUCGGUUCACAGUUUUGGUUAUGACUUGCGCUACCAUGCGCGGAUGACCGACUUUCUACAAAUAU
rnacentral:rRNA from 1 species